rnacentral:rRNA from 1 species
GAUCAUGGCUCAGGAUGAACGCUGGCGGCGUGCUUAACACAUGCAAGUCGAACGAUUGAAGCUGGAGCUUGCUCCGGCCGAUUUAGUGGCGGACGGGUGAGUAACGCGUGGGUAACCUGCUUCAUACAGGGGGAUAGCAGUUGGAAACGACUGGUAAAACCGCAUAAGCGCACGGUGUCGCAUGACACAGUGUGAAAACACUCCGGUGGCAUGAGAUGGACCCGCGU